rnacentral:rRNA from 1 species
UACGAAGGGGGCUAGCGUUGUUCGGAAUUACUGGGCGUAAAGCGCGCGCAGGCGGCGGUGUAAGCAUGGCGUGAAAGCCCCAGGCUCAACCUGGGAGGGUCGUCGUGGACUGCACCGCUAGAGGACGGAAGAGGGUCGUGGAAUUCCCAGUGUAGAGGUGAAAUUCGUAGAUAUUGGGAAGAACACCGGUGGCGAAGGCGGCGACCUGGUCCGUUACUGACGCUGAGGCGCGACAGCGUGGGGAGCAAACAGG